rnacentral:rRNA from 1 species
AACGAACGCUGGCGGCAGGCUUAACACAUGCAAGUCGAACGGUUGUAGCAAUACAGCAGUGGCAGACGGGUGAGUAACACGUGGGAACCUUCCUAGGGGUACGGAACAACUCAGGGAAACUUGAGCUAAUACCGUAUACGUCCGUGAGGAGAAAGAUUUAUCGCCCUUAGACGGGCCCGCGUCGGAUUAGCUAGUUGGUGGGGUAACGGCCUACCAAGGCGACGAUCCGUAGCUGAUCUUAGAGGAUGAUCAGCCACACUGGGACUGAGACACGGCCCAGACUCCUACGGGAGGCAGGAGUGGGGAAUCUUGCACAAUGGGCGAAAGCCUGAUCCAGCAAUACCGAGUGAGUGAUGAAGGCCUUAGGGUUGUAAAGCUCUUUUCAGCAGGGAAGAUAAUGACGGUACCUGACCAAGAAAGCCCCGGCUAACUCCGUGCCAGCCGCCGCAGUAA